GUUUUCUGCCCGUUGUGACGUAGGAUUUGGUCGAAAUGUUUUGUCGUAGGUCCAGUAUGACUAAAUCUUAAUUUGUCCUUCUUUUUCCCUUAGAUUCUGGCAGAAUUCUGUCGCUUAGCAAGCAAAAACAAGUUCUUUAAAGAACUUGAUAAAUGCACUUCUCGCUUCCUUGAGAUUUUCAAGUUGGGGUUGUUUGCAAGGAUCUUAUGGAAUAUCUGCAACAAGUCACUCCAGCAAGCACAGAUGUCACUGGGAAGCGGACAGCAGUCCCCCGUGGCCUUCCGGCGAUCAGAGCACUGACUUCAAGACAUGCUUUGACUGCAAUGACCUUCCCAACACAUUGCACACCUCCAUGGGGAUCGGUGCGGCCUAUCCUCGCUCACUGCACCUUGAGUCGACCGCCAAUGCAAUCGUUUUGGAAGUAACACUGGUCUUAAGUGACCUUCAAAAUUUUCCGCAUGCCAUGUGCCUACUCUAUUCACACCCUGAAUUUGGAGUACCCUCAGACUCUGGACACCUGCAGGAUGCCUCUAGGACUCAUCAUACUGAAGACAGGCCUGAAUUUCCUCUCUUUCCUUGAUGUCUGAUGAUGACACCUGUCCAAAUGAACACCUGUGAAAGACUAUCAUUAAUUGCGGCAAACUGGGCUUGCACAAUGAAUGAAAACAAACUCCACAAGCAUUAAUAUUACAAUGUGAAAGACUUUUUCAUUUUGUAUGUCUUGGCAAUGCAUGAACAAAUACAGUUUUCGCCCUGCUUUUAAAGGAGGUGACCGGAACCAAUGUGAUUGUUUCAGCCCACAACACACCCGGACAUAAUAUAUGAUAAUGGAUUCCUUCUCACUCCACCCUAUUGCCAGACACACGAUUGGCC
ensembl:lncRNA